rnacentral:rRNA from 1 species
GACGAACGCUGGCGGCGUGCUUAACACAUGCAAGUCGAACGGAAAGGCCCUGCUUUUGUGGGGUGCUCGAGUGGCUAACGGGUGAGUAACACGUGAGUAACCUGCCCUUGACUUUGUGAUAACUUCAGGAAACUUGGGCUAAUACCGGAUAGGAGCUCCUGCUGCAUGGUGGGGGUUGGAAAGUUUCGGCGGUUGGGGAUUGACUCGCGGCUUAUCAGCUUGUUGGUGGGGUAGUGGCUUACGAAGGCUUUGACGGGUAGCCGGCCUGAGAGGGUGACGGGGCAAAUUGGGACUGAAAGACGGACCAGAAUCGAACGGGAGGCAGCAGUGGGGAAAAUUGCACAAUGGGGGGAAGCCUGAUGCAGCAAAGCCGCGUGCGGGAUGACGGCCUACGGGUUGUAAAGCGCUUUCGCAGGAGACGAAGCGUGAGUGACGGUAAUGGGUAAAGAAGCACCGGCUAACUACGUG